UUAGUGGCGGACGGGUGAGUAACGCGUGGGUAACCUGCCUCACACAGGGGGAUAACAGUUGGAAACGACCGCUAAUACCGCAUAAGCCGACGAAUCCGCAUGGAUUAGCCGGAAAAGAUUUAUCGGUGUGAGAUGGACCCGCGUCUGAUUAGCCAGUUGGCAGGGUAACGGCCUACCAAAGCGACGAUCAGUAGCCGGCCUGAGAGGGUGAACGGCCACAUUGGGACUGAGACACGGCCCAAACUCCUACGGGAGGCAGCAG
rnacentral:rRNA from 1 species